UAGGGGAUUGGUCAAGUGGUAUGAUAGGGGUCUCCAAAACCUUUGGCGGGGGUUCGAUUCCCUCAUCCCCUGG
rnacentral:tRNA from 2 species